rnacentral:rRNA from 1 species
AACGAACGCUGGCGGCAUGCCUAACACAUGCAAGUCGAACGAGACCUUCGGGUCUAGUGGCGCACGGGUGCGUAACGCGUGGGAACCUGCCCUUAGGCUCGGAAUAACUCCUCGACAGGGGUGCUAAUACCGGAUAAUGUCUUCGGACCAAAGAUCUAUCGACUUUGGAUGGGCCCGCGUUGUAUUAGCUUGUUGGUAGGGUAAAAGCCUACCAAGGCGACGAUCCAUAGCUGGUCUGAGAGGAUGAUCAGCCACACUGGGACUGAGACACGGCCCAGACUCCUACGGGAGGCGGCAGUGGGGAAUAUUGGCAAAUCGGCGAAAGGCUGAUCCAGCAAUGCCGGGUGAGUGAUGAAGGCCUUAGAGUUGUAAAGCUCUUUUACCCGGGAUGAUAAUGACAGUACCGGGAGAAUAAGCUCCGGCUAACUCCGUG